rnacentral:rRNA from 1 species
AUAUUACUAAGCGGAGGAAAAGAAACUAACGAGGAUUCCCCUAGUAACGGCGAGUGAAUGGGGAAUAGCCCAGCGCUGAAUCCCUUGGCCUAUGGUCACUGGGAACUGUAGCGUAUAGGCGCAUCUGUCCGUUGCUUUCGCUCACCCUAAGUUCCCAUGACUGGGACUACAGUCCAUAGAAGGUGCGAGACCUGUGGGAGGGC